AUCUGUGAGUGUAUUGACAGUUAAGUGUGAUUAGUAAAAGUAUUGGCUAUUUUGUGUUGAUGCGUGAAUUGAUGUUUUUUCUUCUUUUUAGCGGCAGCCUGGAUGUUGAUGGCGACGGCGAUAGGGCCUUCAACUUCGCCCAUUUGGCAAGAAUUGGAUGGCGAAAUUGGUGCGGCAGCUGCUGGAGAGGCAGCUCUAUCGGAGGCGUGGCAGGUACGUAUGUUUUGACGGCAGCCUGUGGUCUGGAUGUUGUUGGCGACGGCGAUAGGGCCUUCGAAUUUCGCCCAUUUGGCAGGAAUUGGAUGGCGAAAUUGGUGUGGCAGCUGCUGGAGAGGCAGCUCUAUCGGAGGCGUGGCAGUGGCUGCUCUGGACCUGUGCGGUGGAUUGUCAGGAGCGUCGUCAAUAAAUCCUUAAAUGUCGUCCAAUUGGCAUCAGAUGUGUGGUGUUGAUGACGGGGCAGCUGCUGGAGGGGCAGAUCUGUCGGAGGCGUGGCAGUGGCUGCUCUGGACCUGUGCGGUGGA
rnacentral:misc_RNA from 1 species